AUCGGAGACGGAGGUGGCGCCAAAGAAGAGGAGGUUAAGUGACGCCGAGCGCGCAUGAUAGCCAUGGAAGAGCUUUGAAUCAAUAGGUUUGGCGUAGGACGCACGUCUUCGAAAUGCAAUGGUGGUGUAUUACAAAAUUCACAAUAAUAUUCCUAAAUGAGCAUUACACAUCGUCGGAUUUGUUAACUUAGAGGGCCUACGUUUGGGACUAAUGGUGUAAACGAAAGCCAUGAGAAUAUGAAAUUGAAGACCUUCUAGCCGACAUCGCCUUUUUACUUUGAACUUUGAAGACAAGGUUGGAGACUUGAAGUUGGUACAACACACACAAGGCAUGAUGAAUUUGAACCCACUGAAAGAGAUGAUAAAGCUUGUGGCCUUUCGCUUUGCUUUCCAAGGCCCACAUGCCUCUCACUCGCACGCGUUACGGAGCUAAGUUAUCAUUUAAGACAGUUGUUCAUGAAUUUUUAUUUCAUUUAUGCAUCAGCAAAUCGUAUAGCAUAAGCUAUAUUGAGUAGAUAAGAUCCGUGCUGCAUAAAAUUUUCCAUAACAUCUGUUGUGCAUCUUUCCAUUUUUUUAAUUUAUUUUGUGAAUAAAAUUUAUACAACAUUUAAUUUCA